UACGUAUGGGGCUAGCGUUGUCCGGAUUUAUUGGGCGUAAAGAGCGUGUAGGCGGCCAGGUAGGUCUGCUGUGAAAACUCGAGGCUCAACCUCGAGACGUCGGCGGAAACCAUCUGGCUAGAGUCCGGGAGAGGAGAGUGGAAUUCCUGGUGUAGCGGUGAAAUGCGCAGAUAUCAGGAAGAACACCCGUGGCGAAGGCGGCUCUCUGGGACGGUACUGACGCUGAGACGCGAAAGCGUGGGGAGCGAACAGG
rnacentral:rRNA from 1 species